UAACUUACCUCGAAGUUCGGCAUAACCCUCCGAAAGGAGGGAUAAUACCGGAUGUGGUCGCUAGACAAAUGUCUGGCGAGUAAAGAUUCACCCUGUUUCUUUUCUAUUGAUUAAUUAUUUUAAGUUGAUGAUACGAGCCGUUGAGGCGGCUUCGCCUUCAUUGAUUGUUAAUAAUUAAUGCUUUGAUGGAAAAGAUACAGGGUAAAUCGCUUCGAGAGAGACCUAUGGCUUAUCAGCUAGUUGGUAAGGUAACGGCCUACCAAGGCAAUGACGAGUAGCGGGUGUGAGAGCACGACCCGCCUCACUGGGACUGAGAUACUGCCCAGACUCCUACGGGAGGCUGCAGUUAAGAAUAUUCCACAAUGGACGAAAGUCUGAUGGAGCGACGUCGCGUGACUGAUGAAGCCCUUCGGGGUGUAAAGGUCUUUUAUUAGGGAAGAACUUUUGACGGUACCUAAUGAAUAAGGGGUUGCUAACUCUGUGCCAGCAGCAGCGGUAAUACAGAGACCCCGAGCGUUAUCCGGAUUUAUUGGGCGUAAAGCGUGCGCAGACGGCUUUUUAAGUCUGUGGUUAAAUCUUGGUGCUUAACAUCAGGACUGCCAUGGAAACUGUGAAGCUUGAGGACGGAAGAGGUCAACGGAAUUGCCAGUGUAACGGUAAAAUGUGUUAAUAUUGGCAAGAACACCAGAAGCGAAAGCGGUUGACUGGUACGAUCCUGACGUUGGGGCACGAAAGCGUGGGUAGCGAAUGGGAUUAGAUAGAUCCCAGCCGUAGUUUAUAUUUAUAAACAAGCGGCGAAAGGUGUCCUCCGCAAUGGUGACAUUGCGGUUUGCAUCCAGCUAUAUCGGGGAAUAACCAAACAUCAAGCAAUAACUACUAUUGCGUUUGGAGAAUCCCGAGGGAAGUCGUUUGAAUUUAUUCAAAUUGACCCCGUAGAGACUAUGAAGUUUGGUUAGAGAUAGAAGGCGCAUUAAUUUAUAAAUAUAUGAACAAAAAUAAAUCAGUGCCUUUGUCGGAUAAAACCAGAGAGAUUAUUUUAGGAUCUCUUUUAGGGGAUGGAUCCCUUAAAAUCCAUAAAGGGUAUAAAAACGCCAGGUUUUCUUUUAGGCAUUCAAUUGACCAAAAAGAUUAUUUUU
rnacentral:rRNA from 1 species